rnacentral:rRNA from 1 species
CAUAGGUCUGGUCCCAGCCUUAAAAUCAACUAUUACUUAAUUUACACAUGCGAGUCUCCGCACCCCCGUGAAAAUGCCCUUAUAACCCAUCAGGAAUGAGGAGCUGGUAUCAGGCACAAAAUCUGCCCAAGACACCUAGCCACGCCACACCCACAAGGGUUCUCAGCAGUGAUAAAAAUUGUUUAUGAGCGUCAGCUUGACUCAGUUAAAGUAAAGAGGGCCGGCAAAUCUGGUGCCAGCCGCCGCGGUUACACCAUAAGGCUCAAAUUGAUUUUGUUCGGCGUAAAAUGUGAUUAAAACUUUUUAUACAUUAGAGUUAAACUUAAACUAGGCUGUCGCAAGCUUGCAGUUGGGAAAACCAGAAACGAAAGUUACUCUAACUAACCCCAUUUGAACUCACGAAAACUUGAUUACAAACUAAGAUUAGAUACCUUACUAUGCAAGUCACAAACUUUUAUUUACACCCAAAUCGCCAGGGUACUACGAGCAAAGCUUAAAACCCAAGGGACUUGACGGUACCCCAUAUCCACCUAGAGGAGCCUGUCCUAUAAUUGAUAACCCCCGCUAAACCUCACCACCAUUAGCUUCUUCAGCCUGUAUACUUCCGUCGUCAGCUUACCCCGUGAGCGAAAUCAAGUCAGCAAAACGCCUUUCCGCCAAUACGUCA